UGUUAGUCAAUUUGCAUUUGAACUAGAUUUCGGCAGUUCCAACAACCUAGCCGAGUACGAAGCAUUGAUCAUUGGUCUUGAAAUCUUACAAGAAUUGAAGGCUAAGUCAAUCAAAGUCAUCGGUGACUCACAGUUAGUAGUCAGGCAAGUCAAUGGAGAAUACCGAUGCGGAAACCAGAAUUUACAAAAUUAUUUAAGAAAGACAUUAGAAUUACUAUGUGAAUUCAGAGAAACUGAAUUCGAACAUUUGAGCAGACAGAAAAAUGAAAAGGCAAAUGAACUUGCUCAAUCGGCUUCAGGAUAUAGAGAGCCGAAGUUAGAAUCAAUAGUAAUACAGAGGAGGUUGCUACCUUCGAUUCACAUACGAGAACUGAUUAUAGCUCCCAUAGAAAUAAAGGAAGAUUGGAGAGAAUUAUUAAUCAAAUAUCUAGAAGAUCCUAAUACCAGGGUCGGCUAUAAUAUUCGAAGAAGAGCUCUCGGCUAUUUUUUAUUGGAUGGUCAACUUUAUAAGAGAGUAGCCGAAGAGGUUCUAUUAAAGUGUUUAGGACCUGAAGAAGCUCUGUUGAUAAUGGGAGAAACACAUGAAGGAAUAUGUGGAACCCAUUUAGCCGAAAAAAAGUUAAGAUGGACAAUUCGACACUUAGGAUACUAUUGGCCAACAAUACAUCAAGAUUGUAUAGAAUAUGCCAAAGGUUGUCAGGAUUGUCAAUUUCAUGGCUCAAUCCAGAGGGUUCCGGCCUCUGAGAUGUAUGCAAUCAUCAAGCCAUGGCCUUUUCGAGGUUGGGCCAUGGAUUUAAUUGGAGAAAUUCAGCCGAACUCCUCGGCUGGUCACAAGUUUUUAAUAGUGACUGUCGAUUAUUUCACCAAGUGGGUAGAAACAAAACCCACUCGGUUGGUUACUCAAAAAGAGAUUAUUGAUUUUGUUGAAGAUUACAUAAUUCAUCGCUUUGGGAUUUUCGAGACAAUUACGACCUGUAGAAUGCAGCGGAAGUAUUCGUUCGUACCUUUUUGCGGAAACGAUUCGCGCUAGAAUGCGAUGAGCCCGGAUCGUAGAGGUUGGUUCACGUGUCCUUGGAUCGCCCUUGAAAGUCUUCUUGCGCUCCGAACUCGCGGUGGAUCGAACUACAAACGAGCACGAUCGCAAAUCCACCGUUCAAGUCCCUCUAGAAUAAUAGGUUAAUGGAGGAAGUGGAUUUUCUCUUUUUGUUUCUUAUUCUCUUUCUUUUUCCGUUCUUCCCGUACCUUUUGUUAUGUGGGAUCGACCGCAUAUUUAUAAGGGAUUCCAAAAUCCUAAUAGCGUUAGAGAUAAGGCCAAAUCAGUUAUUAAUUGUUAUCCUUAUAUGACUAGGAUUUAUCUCUAACUAACUUUCCUAUUUGAAAGCGAGAUUAAUUCCAAUCCAAUUAGAUAACAUAACAUCCGUCGGAUCGAACCCGCUUAUGGGCGUACCCGAUUUGAUUUAACCGAAUGCCAACAUCUCCCACUCGCACAUGACGGGAUCGAUGCCAUCGUAACCACUUCCUCAACAUCACACCACUAUUAAUUCUAUUCAUACAAGAAAAUGAACAGUGCAGCCGCCGAGUCAACCUGCAUUUUGGGAGCUCUAUACUAGAAACCCCAUUCGGCCAGCAUAGAGAUAUCAACCCUCAAAAAGAAAAAAAUAUUAGACUCGUGAUGCCCUAGACCAUUGAAUUACAUCAGGUUCAGCAUCUCUAAUCUCUCAAAGUGUCACGCCCCGGGGUCCCUUUAGGUUAAAAACACAGCGAAUUUUUUUUUUUUUUUUUUUUUUUUUUUUUUUUUUUUUUUUUUUGCAAACCUGACCCCAAGGUAUGCCAGAUCCGCCACAAAUAUAGGGAAUCCAUGUUCACACAGACAGAGUCUCCCCUGUAUUUGCACGGCGUCGCACAAGUACAAGAGUAUAGCCAGAAAACAACCACAACCAAAUGAAUAUAAAGAUAACUAUAUAUUCAUACAUUCACCAUUCACAUCACAGUUUUACAUUCAGUGUUUAAAUAGAAAUUCACGAAAAUUCUUUUGAAAACUGUUCCCUAUACGGAAACCUUUAUUCUUUAAGAAACGCUACCACGAGGGGUAGAAAAUCUUUUAUUUCAAGAAAACAUAAUUCCUUUAUUACAUUCCAAAACCAACUGAAAACUCAGAUAUUCAAAUAAUAAAACAAAACUGAACCAUGUAAACCGACUAAGCUAUAUAUCAACAGAAUAAUAAGGGUAAUAACUAAAUCGAAAUAACCUGGGUCGGAAGCAAUAUCGACCGCUACACACGUACCUCACGUCUCGUCCCACUACUCGUCGCCCGCGAUACCUGAAAAAUGGUGGGGGAGGUGAGAACAUGUAAACAUGUCUCCCCUCCCAGUGGGUACCGCAAACCGAAGAAGGCGAGGAGUACUCACCGGAUCAGGAAGAGAGCUAUACAACAACACGGAGAACUAGAUAGACAUAAGUACUGGUAAGUAAAGAUGCUGAUAAGUAAGGAGCUGACAAGUAUAGAUGCAGAUAAAUAAAACAGUAGCUACAAUAAACAGAUAAGGAUGUACUGAAAAUAAAUACCACAGCUACUGUAUGCAUGCGUCAACUGACGAUAAGCUCAAAAGUACCCAAUCUCGCUGCCCUAUUGGUCCGAAGACCUCAGGCCCAUGCCACACUGCUCAACCUGUACCUGACCCUCGCAAUGAAGCCCCUGGGUCAGAAGCACAGUACCUGACCCUCGCAAUGAAGCCCCUGGGUCAGAAGCAUAUACCCUCGCAAUAAAGCCCCUGGGCUCACGGGUUGGCAAUCCAACCACUUUUCCGGAAAAGAACACCCUCUUGCGGUGGAUCAGACCGCUGUUGUUUCGCUGAAGUUCGCUUCAUGCGCGCGCCCUCCACAGUGGCCGGGAUUGCUCCGAAAGGUGAGCACGGCCUCCGGCACGUCGAGACCUGUUAGUAGGUGUCUCGGUUUGGCGGCAUGACUCCUGGUUUGUGUAGACGGACCAUAAAAGCGCCGAAAUCGCAUGAAAUAAUGCGAUUUCGGGUAUUCGGAAGGGCUUUUAUGCAACUUUGUCCGUCGUGGCUGCUGUUGGCAGCAAGUAUGGGCUGAGGAUAACCUCCGGAUUGAUUGUCCAAGGCCCCGGACCUUUGCGAAGACCGGAAAUGCAUUUUCGGAGCGUUUUUUGGCGAAAUCCGCCGAUAGAACGCGUUUUCGAUUCGGAAUUCUUCCGACGGUACUUGGGGAUCAUUUGUUUCAUCGCUGAGCCUUGUUGGCUGGUCACCCGCAUCGUUUCGUAGGUUUGGAAACGACGGGUGAGCGACGGUGAAGUUCCGGUGCGGUUUUCCGGACUUUCAGUUUGUUCGGUAAUCGGUUUUGGGAAAUCAAUUCUCGUGGGUUUAUUUGUGGGGUUAUGCUUUUAGGGUUUCUUAGUUGUAGGUUAGACACUAACCCAGUGGACCCCCCCUUAGGUCCUGUUGACGUUCUUUUGCAGUCAGGAGACAGGCGCGACAGUUGUACAGGUGGGUACUUCGAUCCGACGUUGGUACAGUGGUGCACGCUCGGUGACGUUUCCUUUACCCUUGUUGUUUAUAUCUUUUACCAUAUAUAUGUUGAGCCUUGCACCCAUGCUGUUUCCUUAUUACUCUCUACAUAAUUGUUGCCAGGUGUAGUAUCAUGUGUAGGAGUAGAGUAGACUUUAUCUGUUUAUGAUAUUUAUGAUUUGGUUGGUCUGAUCUCCUAUGUGAUCUCCAUGACCUGGAUGGUCGACGUUGCAUCUCCUACACUUGUGACUUGGUUGGUAGUUUCUUGUACUUCGUAUCAGUGACCUGGUUGAGAUUUUUACACAAAGAGCCAUGCUAACCGCAAUUGCGCACAUUAUGACACUAUACUCAUGAUUGUUUCGCUAUGCUGAAGCGACACAACUUGUCGACAAUGAGUCAAAGUGUCUUAAUGUAAUUCAACUAGUCUUUCUUGAGCCCUCAUGCCACUGAGUUGAGAACUGAUUGCUUUCCCAGCAAUGCCUCGUAAAGUCGCAUCACUCAUUGCCGUAGGUAACAUGCCAAAGUAGCAACAUCAAUUCUUUCACUUAAUGACAUAGUCAAAAGUCACUAAGGGCAUCUAACAUAAAUAGGACAUCGUCUCAAAAUAAUGCCCGUAAGAACUUACACGAUGAGGAAGCAGGGAUCCAUUCACUCAUCUUCUUCAUUUAGUCGCCCAGCACAUGUAGUAUGAAAUACAUGCUAUGACAGAGAAUCCCAAUAAGCGUAUGUCUUUCUCAAUGUCAUACGGAUCUUAGCUCAGUCACUCCCGGAGUGUCUAGCCUGAGUUCUCCAUUUGCUCGCUAUCUCAAGCGUCAAACGGUGAGCUCACAUCCGGCUCUUAAUAUACAGGCCAUACGAAUCGUGGGACUAUUCAUAUACGGUCUCAUUAAUGACCUCAUCUUGGUGCCAACCAAGGCGGCUUUCAUUAAUGCCUCAAUUUUCACUCGCUCUCUACAGCGCCGAAAAGAAUGAUUGCCCGUGUGAGAGGGCCAAUCAGCCUGUGACAUACUAUCAAUCAGUUUAAUAAUAAUGCACGUGUACUAAUUUUACCAAAUAUCUUUUCCAGAAUAAUAAUUUGUAAUUAAAUAACCAAGAAAUUACAAAAAAAAAUCGACUGUCUACACAAUCAAAUCCUACGGAGUCCAAGAGCUUUAACAUGAGCCCAAAAAUAAUUCUCUAACAACAGGCUUAGUUAGAGAAUCUACAACCACGCGACUCGUAGAUAUGUGUUCCAGGAUUAUUUUCUUCUGCGCCACUGCCUUCGAGUGGUCCAAUCCCAGAUUGGACUGAAAAUGGCUAACCAAGCCCACGGCAUAGCAUAUAUCAGGCCGAGUACACAUCAUAGCAUACAUCAGGCUCCCGACCGCAUUAGCAUAUGGAAUCCGAUUCAUCUUGUCCUUCUCUUCAGAAGUUUUAGGGCACUGUUUAAGGUUCAAACUCUCACCUUUAGCAAUAGGAGUGUCAAUGGGUUUGCAAUUUUGCAUCUGAAAUCGUUCUAAAACUUUUCUUAGGUAAGUCUCUUGAGACAGACCUAAAAGUUUCUUUGAACGAUCUCGUAGGAUCUUAACUCCGAGCACAUAAUUCGCUUCACCCAUGUCCUUCAUUUCAAAAUUAGAGGACAGCCACGUCUGAGUGGCGACAAUCAUCUCCUUAUUAUUCCCGGCCAAUAAGAUGUCAUCCACAUAUAAAGAAAGGAUAAGAAAAAAUUCUUUGGACCGUUUAACAUACACACAGUGAUCUUCUUCAAUCAUCGUAAACCCAUCUUCAGUGAUGGCUCGAUGAAAUCGAAUAUACCACUGUCUGGAGGACUGCUUCAAUCCAUAAAUGGAUCGUCGGAGCUUACAAACUUUAUGCUCCUCACCCUUUACAGAGAAGCCAGUAGGCUGAUCCAUAUAGAUCUCCUCAUCCAGUUCUCCAUUGAGAAAUGCAGUUUUAACGUCCAUUUGGUAAAGAUCCAAAUCCAAAUAUGUGACAAUGGCCAAGAUCAGACGGAUCGAAGCAAACCUUACAACAGGAGAAAAAGUUUCUUCGUAAUCAACGCCUUCUCGUUGGGUAAAACCCUUUGCUACUAGGCGAGCCUUGUACCUAUCGAUAGAACCGUCUGCCUUGCGCUUAAUCUUGAGAACCCAUUUAUUCCCAAUUGUUUUGCGCCCUUGUGGCAAGUCAACCAAGUCCCAGACAUGAUUUGACUUCAUCGAUUCUAUUUCCUCCAUCAUUGCAUCCAUCCAUUCCUUAUGAGUAGGUAAUGAGAGAGCCUCUUGGAAGGAUCUAGGCUCAUCAUCAUCAUGUGCAGCAACCAUGAAAGCUUCCCCCUCAAUCUCAAAACGACGACGGGGAAUGCCUACACGUGCGCUCCUACGAAGUUGAGGCUCCACAUCUAAAGGUAAGUCGCUCCCACUAUCCCCAGGAGGUAUCGGAGUCGCCUCCUCUGCCUCAACUGAGCGAAUAGAAGCGCCAAUGUCAGAGUCAUCCAUCUCAUGGAACUCAGUUUCAUUUCGAACCUCACUUCUAUAAGGAAAAUCCUCCUCGAGGAAUUCAACAUCUCGUGACUCAAUCUCAGUCAAACUUCCAUCAGGCUGCUUUCCGAUGAACACGUAUCCCUUAGAGUGUUCAGAGUAUCUUAUAAAGAUACACUUUCUCCCUCUAGGACCCAACUUCCCAUCCUUGUGAGAAGUAUUGUGUACAUAAGCUGCCGAACCCCAAGGACGCAGGAGCUCCAAAUUUGGUUUCCUGCCUGUCCAUAAUUCAUAAGGGGUGGAAGGUACUGUUUUGGAGGGUACACGAUUAAGAAUGUAGGCAGCAGUUAACAAUGCGUCUCCCCAAAAGGAGACAGGCAAAUUUGCUUGCGCCAUCAUUGACCUAACCAUGUCAAGCAAGGUGCGAUUUCUUCUCUCCGCUACACCAUUUUGCUGCGGAGUGCCAGGAAUUGUCAGCUGUCUGAUUAUUCCCUUUUCAUCACACAAUUUCUUAAAUUGUUCAGAUAGAUACUCGCGGCCUCGAUCAGUUCUUAAGCAUUUAAUUUUCAUAUCUAACUGAUUCUCAACCUCAUUAAUAUAACGUCUAAAACAAUCCAAUGCUUCAGACUUAUGGGAGAUCAGAUAAACAUGACCGAAGCGCGUAUGGUCAUCUAUAAAUGUGAUGAAGUAAAAAGCACCAUGUCUUGCCCUCACACUCAUUGGGCCACAAAUGUCGGAAUGGAUUAAUUGUAAAGGAAAUUCUGCCCUUGAAGCUUUAUUAAAUGGUUUUCGGGUCGCUUUUCCCGCUAAACAAUGUUCACAAGUGGGUAGGUCGACUUUAGUGAGCGAGCUCAAUAACCCGUCUCUAACUAAUCUAGUCAUUCUAUCCUGCCCAAUAUGACCAAGACGUGCAUGCCAUUUAAUUGAAACAUUGUGAUCAUUCUCAACAGAAGAUAGCAGGGAAAAAGAAUCACUAUUAUUAAUAUUAUAAUCAAUGUCCAAAACCAUAAAACCAUUCGACAUAAAACCUCUUCCAUAAUAAAUAGUUCCAAGAUGAAUCUUAACUACAUCACUCUCAAAACGAAAAGAAAAGCCUAACUGUAGCAUAGCAAGAAUAGAAAACAAGUUCCGCCGAAUUCCUGGAGCAUAAAGUACAUCAUGUAGAUAUAAAGUUCGACCACCUUGCAUGAUCAACUUGUAUGUGCCAAUGCCUAACACAUCGACACUUGAAUCGUUCCCCAUGUAUACCCUUCUGCUCCGAGCAGGCACACGACGGUACUCAACAAAUCCCAUCCGAUCCCUCGCUACGUGGUCUGUUGCUCCUGAGUCUACAAUCCACACAAGGAGAGAUUCAGCAACAAACGUAUUAGAAGAAACAAAAGAGCGAGAAUCGGGAUAGAGAUGUACCUUCUUCGGCUCAGUGCAAUCACGAGCGAAGUGUCCCAGCUGAUUACAGUUGAAACAAGUCAUCUUUGACUUGUCCUUCUUGCCACCUCGUUUGCUUCUCUUUCUUUUAGUGCUCUUCGCGUUCUUAGGCGCGGAUCCGCUACGAUUUUGAGCCCCAGUAGUCCUCUUUCGCUUGAACCCAGAUGUCCUGCGAAAGUUUGACUCAGCAGCAUUGGCAGUUGGAGUUUUAACAGCCUCAAGGCGCUCCUUCUCCAACUCCAAAUGCCACGCAACAUCCUCAAAAGUUUUAAUAUUGUCAUUAUGGGUCAAAUUUACUCGCAUAUGUUCCCACGAAUUGGGAAGGGAACGAAUCAUAGCUUGGAUCUGCUGCUCAUCAGUCAAGGUGUCGCCAGCCGACUUUAACUCGCGAAUCAUGUUUGACAUUGUUCUAACGUGCUGUUUUAUAGUCUGAUCGGCACGCUUCUUAUAACUGUCAAACCUCAUAGUCAGACUGCGCAACCUUGUAGCCGAAGUUGCAUCAAACUUUGCUUUGAGAGCCUCCCACAUGUCAUACGCAGUCGGAUACUGCUCACACUUGCACAAGAGAUCAUUCUGCAUACUGCUCAGCAACGUGAUGCGAGCAAUGCGAUCCUUUUUGAGCCAAUUAUUAUAAGCUUCCAUAUCUCGGCGAGCCUGGGCACUGGUGCCCUUUGCGGGUAGGUCCAUUUUAUUACUCAGGUUUUCCAGAACCUCUUGCUCAGCGAGAACAUAUUGAAUUUUACGGUGCCAAAUAUCAUAAUUGUCACCAUCUAAUUUCUCGCCCUGGUUUAAAUCCGCAACAAUUUGCUUGGAGGCCAUUCAAUUUCACUAUGUUCAUGCAAUGCGCAGAAAAGGAUAUUUUAAAAUUAGUACACGAUACAUAUAUUCAAUUUUGCCGCAUCUCCUAAAUUAAAAAUUAGACCAUAGAUGCGUAAAGAAAAAUUUUGCUAUGCUCGUAAUCACAUCACACACCAUAUGUCAUAAUUUUUAAUUUAUUUAAUUAAGAUGCACAAAAAAUUGGGAGUAAAAAGCAUAUAAUUUACUCUACCAAAGUCAAAAAGACUCCCACUAGAUAAGGCAUGCAUAAAAUAUAUAUGCCUAAAGUUACAUUUAUAUAUACAUCAUAAAAGGCAUUAUCACAUUUUAAAUGCAUCUUAAUUAAAUAAAUUAAAUAUUGUGACAUAUGGUGUGUGAUGUGAUUACGAGCAUAGCAAAAUUUUUCUUUACGCAUCUAUGGUCUAAUUUUUAAUUUAGGAGAUGCGGCAAAAUUGAAUAUAUGUAUCGUGUACUAAUUUUAAAAUAUCCUUUUCUGCGCAUUGCAUGAACAUAGUGAAAUUGAAUGGCCUCCAAGCAAAUUGUUGCGGAUUUAAACCAGGGCGAGAAAUUAGAUGGUGACAAUUAUGAUAUUUGGCACCGUAAAAUUCAAUAUGUUCUCGCUGAGCAAGAGGUUCUGGAAAACCUGAGUAAUAAAAUGGACCUACCCGCAAAGGGCACCAGUGCCCAGGCUCGCCGAGAUAUGGAAGCUUAUAAUAAUUGGCUCAAAAAGGAUCGCAUUGCUCGCAUCACGUUGCUGAGCAGUAUGCAGAAUGAUCUCUUGUGCAAGUGUGAGCAGUAUCCGACUGCGUAUGACAUGUGGGAGGCUCUCAAAGCAAAGUUUGAUGCAACUUNCGUGCGGCCCAAGCGUCCGCGUGGCCCGCGUGGCCUGCUCGGCAUGCGCGGCCCGCAUGGCCUCGUAGCCCGCGGCCUGUUGGGUGUAGCCCGCAAGGGUCGUGCGGCCCGCGACCUGCACGCGGUUUGCGUGGCCGACACUGCCGGCGGCCUACGCGCUGCUGCGACGCCGGUACAGUAAUAAUUUUUACUAACCUAUGAUUAGAAAUCCAAAUCAUGCAAGGAAUAUAUCAAUAGAAAGCUUAUGAGAAGCUCUUCUAAAUCAUGCAAUUUUCACAAUGGGAUAUACAUCAAACAAGCCACCCCCAAAGUUUCGAUUUAGGGUUUCAUUUUUUUCAUAAAAUACAAAACCAAAACAAAUCAAACUUUGUAGAUCUAAUCUAUAAGAUAGGUGCUUUAAGAUGUGUAGCAAUCAAGCAAAAAAAUCCACUUCUGAAAAAAACCGCCAUUAACGCUCACAUACAUGCAAGAAAAAAUCUAAAACAUGAUAGAUCUUGUUAUAUUGCAUGUAAUCUCGUUAAAAGAUGUAUCAAGACCACGAAAUCAACGAAAAAAGGCUCUGAUACCAAUGUAGAACGCAGCGGAAGUAUUCGUUCGUAUCUUUUUGUGGAAGCGAUUCGCGCUACAAUGCGAUGAGCCCGGAUCGUAGAGGUUGGUUCACGUGUCCUUGGAUCGUCCUUGAAAGUCUUCUUGCGCUCCGAACUCGCGGUGGAUCGAACUACAAACGAGCACGAUCGCAAAUCCACCGUUCAAGUCCCUCUAGAAUAAUAGGUUAAUGGAAGAAGUGGAUUUUUUCUUAUUGUUUCUUAUUCUCUUUCUUUUUCCGUUCUUCCCGUACUUUUUGUUAUAUGGGAUCGAUCGUAUAUUUAUAAGGGAUUCCAAAAUCCUAAUAGCGUUAGAGAUAAGGCCAAAUCAGUUAUUAAUUGUUAUCCUAAUAUGACUAGGAUUUAUCUCUAACUAACUUUCCUAUUUGAAAGCGAGAUUAAUUCCAAUCCAAUUAGAUAACAUAACAUCCGUCGGAUCGAACCCGCUUAUGGGCGCACCCGAUUCGAUUUAACCAAAUGCCAACACGACCGAUCAAGGGACAAUGUUCACAGGAGGACAGUUCGUUUGGUUCAUCGAGUCUCGAAAGAUAAAAUUGCUUCAUUCGUCUCCUUAUUAUGCACAAGCGAAUGGACAAGUAGAAGCAGCAAAUAAAAUAGUCAUUAAUCUUAUGAAACGGCAUAUCGGAAAGCAUCCGAGAAAUGAAAUGAAAAACUUUC
rnacentral:lncRNA from 1 species